rnacentral:piRNA from 1 species
UCCCACAUGUAAUGAAAUGCUCUACUUU